AGAAUAUUGGCAACUUUAUUAAAGCUAUUCAGGCUUAUGGUAUGAAGCCACAUGACAUAUUUGAAGCAAAUGAUCUUUUUGAGAAUGGAAACAUGACCCAGGUCCAGACUACACUGGUGGCUCUAGCAGGUCUGGCUAAAACAAAAGGAUUCCAUACAACCAUUGACGUUGGAGUUAAGUAUGCAGAAAAACAAACAAGACGUUUUGAUGAAGGAAAAUUAAAAGCUGGCCAAAGUGUAAUUGGUUUGCAGAUGGGAACCAACAAAUGCGCCAGCCAAGCAGGUAUGACAGCCUAUGGGACUAGGAGGCAUCUUUAUGAUCCCAAAAUGCAAACUGACAAACCUUUUGACCAGACGACGAUUAGUCUGCAGAUGGGCACCAACAAAGGAGCCAGCCAGGCGGGGAUGUUAGCACCGGGUAGCAGGAGAGACAUUUACGAUCAGAAGCUAACAUUACAACCAGUGGACAACUCGACAAUUUCUCUACAGAUGGGUACAAACAAAGUCGCUUCCCAGAAAGGAAUGAGUGUGUAUGGGCUGGGGCGGCAAGUAUAUGAUCCCAAAUACUGUGCUGCUCCCACAGAACCUGUCAUUCACAAUGGAAGCCAAGGAACAGGAACAAAUGGGUCAGAAAUCAGUGAUAGCGAUUAUCAGGCAGAAUACUCAGAUGAGUAUCACGGCGAGUACCAAGAUGACUACCCCCGAGAUUACCAAUAUGGCGACCAAGGCAUUGAUUAUUAGAGUCCCACAGAGCAGCUCCGUAUUUAGCCAUUGUUUUUAUUCAGUGAGAACCAAGCUAGCCUUGAGUAAUUUUUAUCUUGUCUUCCUAAAACACUAUUAUGCUUAUUGUACCUAAAAGAAAUAUUGCCUUACAUACAUUCCUUUUUCCUUUUUCUGCCUCUUCCCUAAAUAGUUGCCUUUUAGUGCUGUAACAGUUAAAUCCUACAGCAUAACUGAUAACUCGCAUAUGAAGUAAAAAGGAAUACUGUGAAAGGGGAGUACUCUUGUACAGUCAAUUCUUUUAUGAAAGAUCUAUGCAUUUUUACAAUCUUCUACUUAAACUGGUAUUUUCAAACAAUAGGAACCUAUUUUUUGUUUUUUUACAGUUUAGUAUCUCGUUUCUACAUGGAAGACUAAACUCAUGCUUAUAGCUAAAUGUGGUCUUUGCCAAUUGAAUUUAAGAUGCAGCAUUUUAGAAAUUGACAUAUCAAUGUUUAUACAGUAUUGUGUGCUAAUUUUGAAAUAAAGUCAUGCUCAGUGUG